UACGUAGGGGGCGAGCGUUGUCCGGAGUUACUGGGCGUAAAGCGCACGCAGGCGGUCUGCUAAGUUUGGAGUGACAGUUGGUGGCUUAACUGCCAAAGUGCUUCGAAAACUGACAGACUUGAGGGCUUCAGAGGGACACGGAAUUCCGGGUGGAGUGGUGAAAUGCGUAGAGAUCCGGAGGAACACCAAAGGCGAAGGCAGCGAUCCUGGGAAGUUCCUGACGCUCGGGUGCGAAAGCCAGGGGAGCGAACGGG
rnacentral:rRNA from 1 species